CACAGGUUUUGGUGUAAAAAAAUCAUAUAAGAAUAUGAAAAAUGGACGAGAAGUUAAUUGAACUUGUAAGAAAUCAUGAAGUGCUAUACAAUCACUCAUCAGCCGAGUGCAGGGACCAGACGAUUCGGCAAGAAGGUUGGGAGGAAAUUGGUAGACACUUACAAAUAACAGCAAACAACGUCAAGACAAAAUGGGACAAACUUAGACGAUGUUUCUGUAAUGCAAGAAAUAGACGCCUGUCUACACAAAGUGGCCGUGCUACCAAAAAAAAUUACGCCAUGGAAAUUUGAACAGCAGAUGACAUUUUUGCUGCCGUAUUUAGAAGGUCGAAGGACGCGCGGCAAUUUGCAGAAGUCUCAAAAUGAACAUAAAAUUUGCGUUCCCGACGAAAGAGAAAUUAACGACGAUGACGUUGACGCAGACGAAUAGCAAAUACAAGAAAACAGUACAGACGCUGAGGAUAUAGCUGAUGAAGGGGACCAAAAACAUAUUGCAGUUAUACAACAACAAACACCUUCGCAAGACGAUAUAUUGCUCGCCGAAAAUACUAAAACAUUAGAGCACAUGAAGAGAAACAAAACGUGUUCACAAAAAAAAAAUACUGCAGCCGAGAAAAUAACGGCAAUAAUGGAACAAAAUGCUGCAAAAAGUUUGGCGAGAAUGACGAAACAAUUACCAAAAGCCGAACAAGCUGUAGUUAAAAUAACAGUGAGCACUGCAAUCCUUCAAGCUGAAUUGAGAAGCGCACAAGCACAAAGUGCUCCAAUACCUGCACCAUCUUCGUCAUAUGCUUUGCAACCAUUGUUUUGACCUCACGACAAUUCUAGACAGUCUACGUCAUCAUCGUCAUAUUCUGUGCAACCCUUGCCGUCACCUCAUGAAUAUUCUAUCAUCAGAAUCCUCUAACAUGCAAUAGGCUCUCUCUCCGCAGGAGUAUGAUAAAGCUGGACAUGGGCAAUUUACAAAUGUUUCACAAACAAGCAACUACCCUACAGCAGAGACAACUCGCGAGGAAUGGAGACCGACGUUACUAGAUAUAAACUCUGUGUCUCUGGUCGACUUAGCUAAAUAAUAUCAUGAAACUUUUCUAUUGUUAUUUAACGUGUGUAGCCAAACAUUUUUGCAAAAUAAAAUAUUUAUUUUAAUUAUUGGUAAGUGCUUACCUUAAACACACCGCCAAUCUUUCUUCGGUACUAAUCGCUCUUCUAAGCUGAGUAUUUUGCUUUUUAAUAAGUCCAUGCAAAUAA